rnacentral:rRNA from 1 species
GUUGUAAUCUCGAGAAGUGUUUUCCGCGCCGGACUGCAUACAAGUCUGUUGGAAUACAGCGUCAUAGUGGUGAGAGCCCCGUAACUGAUGCAGAUGCCCGGUGCUUUGUGAUACACUUUCGAAGAGUCGAGUUGUUUGGGAAUGCAGCUCAAAUUGGGUGGUAAAUUCCAUCUAAAGCUAAAUAUUGGCGAGAGACCGAUAGCGAACAAGUACCGUGAGGGAAAGAUGAAAAGCACUUUGGAAAGAGAGUUAACAGUACGUGAAAUUGUUGGAAGGGAAACGCUUGAAGUCAGACUUGCUAUUCGGAAUUCAGCCGCAAGGUGUACUUUUCGAUUUGCAGGCCAGCAUCAGUUUUUGGGGGUGGAAAAGGGUGGAGAGAAGGUAGCAACCUCGGUUGUGUUAUAGCUCUUUACUGGAUUCAUCUUUGGGGACUGAGGAUCGCAGUGCGCAAUUCAUUUUGCAAACCUUUCGAGGUUUUCGUACUUAGGAUGCUGGUGGAAUGGCUUUAAACGACCCGUCUUG